GGAGGGCGGAGCGGUCGGCAGCACCUGGUGUCGGUGUGUCCUGAGUCUAUCUGCUGUCAGGAGGCUGACCUGGACCAUGCCAUGCGUGGUGAAGCAUGUUUAACAAAUGUUCGCACACUUGUAUGCCGCGGAACAGCGGCUGGGAAUCACUGGAUUGGAGCACUCUCUGGCUUUUCGUCUGAGAUUUACAGCUUGACCAUCUAUUUACUGAUAAACACUACUUCACCUAAGAGACUUGAGUAUCCAGUUCUUCGUUGACCUUCAGCAUUCAGUUGUUUGUCUUCACCUUUUCAGGUUUCCUGUGUCCAGCAUCUUCAAGACAGACUAAGCUAACUUUUCAUAUUUUUUGCACAUUUAUAUUUAGGUUAGGAGUAGGUUAGGUUUAUAGUAGACUAUUUAGUUUGUAUAGUUUAGCUUUUUAUGCUGGUCUAGGGACAGUUAAGUUAGCAAAUUAAUUUAGGUCAGAUCACUUACAAUUGCAUAUUAUUGUUACAAUUGUGUUAUUUUGUGAGUUAUUGUUGUACAGGCUAUUGUAUAUUGCAGAACCAAGUGAGACGAGGAAGACCACUGCUUCCAAGAUGCUGCUCAGAAAGUGCGUUGGACAAGUCUCGACCUUGCAGAUCCUGCCCCACUUAGC